GCAGUUACACGUCCUCUCUGUGUGGCCUGGGCUUCCUUACAACAUGGCGGCUGGGCUCUAAGAGCGAGUGUCCUGAGAGCCAAGGGGAAGGUGUGCCACAUUUUAGGAUCUCAUCUUGUAAGUCAGGUUAUCUCAUCUGCUGCAUUCUACCUGUUAGAAACAAGUCACUGAGGCCAGCCCAUAUUCAGGGAAGGAGAAUUAAGAGUCCACCUACUGAUGGGAAGACGGUCAAAGAAUUUGCAAACAUAUUUUGAAACCACCACAGGCAGCAUCUCUGGAUCACAGCAAGCAGGUCAGCUUGGAGAUUGCAGCCCCAGGAUGUUAGCUGCUUCCUGAUCCUUGGGAGUCAUCCCUCCCUCCUUCUCCCUUUUGUAACUAAUUCCCUUGAUAAAAUCCCCUCUGUUUGAUAUACCCAGGACUGUUUCUCUUUUCCUGACAGAUAUAUGCAGGCUAUCCCUAGCUAUCCAAACUUACCAUCUGAAUUGAAUAGUAGAGUGACUUGUAGAAACAUGAACUAUUACCAUGUGCCAAGAACCAUGCUAGGUGCUGAACAUAUGUUUCCUCAUUUAAUUCUAAUACCAGCCCUGCCAGAGAGGUAUGAGUGUACCUACCUCACAGCACAGAAACUGAAGCUCAGAAAGGUUAAAUAACUUGCCCAAGAACACGGCUGGAAGGAAGUCUGACUCUCAAGUGAUACAUCAGCUGGCUGAAAACCUGACCAGAGGCAGAACUUGGGAGAUUUCAGGAAGAUGCACCCAGCACAAGCCAGGCAGAACAACAGCAAUUAUGGCCACAUCCAGAGGACUUCCGAAGAGCAGCACACAGGAGAGAGAGGUUCUGACGCUGUGAAGUUAGAGGACAGAGAAAGAGUAAACCAGCCACUCAGGGCCUACGGUUGCUAGUUUACUCCAGCUGGAGACCUAGUGACGGGGCUACUGCUAGUUGAAUAGGAAAAUGCAAGGAGGCAUGUUCUAAAGAGACGGCAGGAAGCUUUUAGGUAAUGAUACCAAAGAGGAAAGACCAGGCACAGUGCUGGUGCUCUUAUAUGUCUUAAGAUGUAAUUUUCGUAACCCAGUGAGGCAGGCAUAAUUAUCCCUAUGAAAUUAAAACUAAGAAAAAUUAGGUAACUUACCCAAGUCACAGUAGUUAAGCUGGAGUUCGAACCCUAAUCUCUGAGGCUCACAGACCCCUGCCCUUGGCCUGGGCCACCUGCAUCACAGCCCUCAACCACCAGAAACCAGAGAAGCCAGGGCACAGGGUAAGCAAACCCAGCGAAAUCUGAAGGAACGUGCAUCACCUUCCACAAUUCCUGCAACCUCAGAGCAGGCUGCAGACAUUCUGUCCCUCUGGUUCCACAAUCCAAUGAGACAUCUUUAGAGGGGAAGGGAGAAAAUUAGUGAGCAUUCAGAGGAGGCAGCACUGGGCACUCCACCGCCACAAGGAAAUCUGGGCUGCGGGUUCCAUGAGAUGAUACCCACUGCCCUCUGCUGGCAACCAGGAAGAACAAGAGGAAAGAGGACCAAAGAUCCAUUUCAGGUUGACGUGUCAAGAGAUGAUGACGGUGGAUGGAACUUCCCUGGUGGUACAGUGGUUAAGAAUCUGCCUGCCAAUGCAGGGGACAUGGGUUUGAGCCCUGGUCCAGGAAGAUUCCACGUGCCGUGGAGCAAGGAAGCCCGUGCACCACAACUACUGAGCCCACACGCCACAACUACUGAAGCCCGCAUGCCUAGAGCCCGUGCUCUGCAACAGGAGAAGCCACCGCAUUGAGAAGCCCGCGCACUGCAACGAAGAGUAGCCCCUGCUCGCCACAAUUAGAGAAAGCCCGUGCACAGCAACAAAGACCCAAUGCAGCCAAAAAAAAAAAAAAAUAGAGAUGAUGAGGGUGGAUUUUUAAAAACCUUUUAUUAGAGAUGAAUUCAAGCUUAUAAAAGAAUGGCAUAUUAUGUUCCCAUGUAUGUUCACCAGCUUCAACAAUGUAUCAACUCAUAGCCAAUCUCGAGUCAUCCCCACCCUUACCCACUUCCCUCCAACAUGUUUUCUUUUGAAGCAAUUCUCAGACAUUCUGUCAUUUCAUCUGUAAAUAUGUUAGUAUGUAUUUCCACAAGAAAAUGAUUUUUUAACCCCGUAACACCACCAUUAUCACAACUAAAAAAAAAAAAAAAUCAAUAAA